AUGACAAAUGAAUAAUUUAACUGCAAUGAUGCAUAUUCAUGUCCCUAUUUCACAUUGAAAUCAUAUAAAUAUGCCCAUUCACACCUCAUAAAAUUAAGUCAUAAUCACUCUUCUGAUAUUGAUAUUUCCAAAUAUUUUGAACAGAACCUAACAAAAUAUCCGAAAAAAUGAAAACGACUGAAGUAAUAUUUAUCUGUUUUGUCAUUCUCUUUGUUUAUUGCUCAGCUUCACCAAUUAUUUACGAACAAUCUUCAACAGAAACAGGGAACAUUCUUGGUGAAAUGUCUACGAGUUCUCCACAAUACGAAGACGAAAGUUUCUCUGGAAGAAGAGUAUCUGGUCGUUUAGAUCCAAAAUUACUGGCGUCUCUAGCUGGAUGAAUGGCAGAUUGCUCGAUAGGUUAUGGACUAUUCUAUAGAAGCCAUAAUAUAGUUUUCUAUGGAUACUCAUGAAAUAUGGAACAUAUUGAUAUAACCAAUGGAAUUAUUUGAAUAAAAUAUUUGAAAACAA